AUCAGUGUAGCGUAGUGGUUUGAAUGUUGAACUACAACUCUGAAGACCAGGGUUCAAUUCCCAGCUUGGCUG